CCUACGGGUGGCAGCAGUGGGGAAUAUUGCACAAUGGGGGGAACCCUGAUGCAGCGACGCCGCGUGAGUGACGCAGUAUUUCGGUAUGUAAAGCUCUAUCAGCAGGGAAGAAAAUGACGGUACCUGACUAAGAAGCCCCGGCUAACUACGUGCCAGCAGCCGCGGUAAUACGUAGGGGGCAAGCGUUAUCCGGAUUUACUGGGUGUAAAGGGAGCGCAGACGGCUGUGCAAGUCUGGAGUGAAAGGCGGGGGCCCAACCCCCGGACUGCUCUGGAAACUGUAAAGCUGGAGUGCAGGAGAGGUAAGCGGAAUUCCUAGUGUAGCGGUGAAAUGCGGAGAUAUUAGGAGGAACACCAGUGGCGAAGGCGGCUUACUGGACUGCAACUGACGUUGAGGCUCGAAAGCGUGGGGAGCAAACAGGAUUAGAUACCCCUGUAGUC
rnacentral:rRNA from 1 species